UUACGUCUGUCUCAGAAAAGAAAGCAUUUUCUGCUUGCAGAAAAAUGGUUUCUUUUCUAGAGACACAAAACCAAUGAGCAUGUAGUGCGAUAGCACGGAAUGCGAAUUGUGUUUGCAAAUUGCGGGAGCGUAAGCGGAGCAAUUUGUGAGGACGUAA
rfam:Roseburia sp. CAG:309 genomic scaffold, scf279